rnacentral:lncRNA from 1 species
AAAAUACAUUAAAAAAUUCAUGCUAUUGUCAACAAAAUAGAUAUAGACCCAGGUUUAUUUAUAGACAAUUACCUCCAAAACUAAAGCAAAUACAAAUAUACUGCUAUUAAUUUCAAGGUCGAACUACUUAGAGUGGUUCACCAAACCUGAACAGGAAGAAAAUAGGACUAAAAAAAUUGAAGAAAUAACGUUGCACUAGAAAGAUAAAGGUCUUUACAUCUGUUAUUAUGGCAGAUUCGACGAAGUAAUCCUCUUUAGAUGCUGCAAAUCAAUCAUAAAUUUAGGUCAUCAUCCUUAUAAGCUGAUUCACAAACUUGCCAUAGGCUAUGAUUAAGGAAUUUCACUUAAGGGCAUUCAACCCCACACAUGAUGGUGGCACCUUCGUCCUUGGCUAUUGAGAUGAACUUCAUUACUCUCUCAUACAAUAAAAAUUCCAAAUUUGAGUAAUGAGUAAUAUAAUUUCCAAUACAUCCAUUCCAUUAAGGAAUAAAUGAGAGAGAAAGUCAUGAAGUUCAUUUUGAGUUAAAAGUAAUAUAAUUUUGGAUAUCUUCAUCCAGUAGAGAAUAAAAGAGAGAGCAAGAAUUAAUAUGUUCAUAGUAUGUAUGCACAAAAUAUUACAAAGACCUGAUAGCAUAAUGCAUUCAACAGUUUCUAUCCACAGAAGUUCCUUAUUAUGAGUAAGACUCAGCCAUAGCAUUUAAUGGAACUUUUGCAGGUAAUGAUGUAAAUCUUUCAGCCCUUUUAUCCUGCUCGAGUUUGAGAAAACAGAAAAAAAAAUACAAGCUUUCUUAUCAGUCCAUUGCUUACCACAAGACCAAGCCUCCAACCUUGCUCCAACCCAUGUGUCUAUCUCCAUUACUUCACCACUAUUGACACAUACAACACUGUUAUGAAACAAAUGUCUAAAUUUAAUCUUUUUUAUGUUAAAAUAUCCAGUUUAUUUUCUAUUGCACAUAUUCCUCAGAAAUUCAAUGCUAGUGUCAUUUGAAUAUAUAUGUUAAUAUAGUGUAGUUCAAUACCAAAUCGGACAAUGAUCAAUCCUCUUGAACUUGCAUUCUUGAAACAACCCAAAUGAGAUUAUUUCUCAUCAUUCCAUGAGUGACUCCAAAACCAUCACCAAAAAGCCUGACAUCCAUAAAUGAUUUAAUGUUGUUUCCUGCACAUUUUUUACAAAUAAAAUGCCUUAAAGCUUCUGAAUGGAAUAUGAAAAAGAAUUCUUGAAAAUUCGAAAACCGGAAAUUCAUCACCUGAAUAGAGUAGAGGAAAACAACUUUUCAAAAUCAAAGUAUCAAACAACCAAUAAG